UGUGACUUAGUUUAUUUAGAAUAGUCAACUUGCACUUGACAGGAGAGGAUCUCAGUGACGG
rnacentral:tRNA from 1 species